UCCUUAUCUUUAUCUUCUUAUCUUCCUUAUAUUUAUCUUCUUAUCUUCCUUAUCCUUUUCUUCUUAUCUUCCUUAACUUUAUCUUCUUAUCUUCCUUAUUUUUUAUCUCGUUAUCUUCCUUAUCCUUAUCUUGAUCUUCUUAUCAUGGCUCGGAGCCAAGCUCGAACGACUUGGAGUCGGCUCCGAGCUAUUCGAGCUUGGCUCCGACCCAUGAUAAGCAGAUAAAGAUAAGGAUAAGGAUAAGGAUAAGAAGAUAAAGAUAAUGAAGAGAAGAAGAUAAAGAUAAGGAAGAUAAUAAGAUAAAGAUUAGGAAGAUAAAAAGAUAAAGAGAAGGAAUAUAGGAAGAUAAAGAUAAGGA
rnacentral:sRNA from 1 species